AACGAACGCUGGCGGCAGGCCUAACACAUGCAAGUCGAACGCACCGCAAGGUGAGUGGCGCACGGGUGAGUAACACGUGGGAAUGUACCCUUUGGUUCGGAAUAACGUUUGGAAACGAACGCUAAUACCGGAUGAGCCCUGUGGGGGAAAGAUUUAUCGCCAAAGGAGCAGCCCGCGUCUGAUUAGCUAGUUGGUGGGGUAAAGGCCUACCAAGGCGACGAUCAGUAGCUGGUCUGAGAGGAUGAUCAGCCACACUGGGACUGAGACACGGCCCAGACUCCUACGGGAGGCAGCAGUGGGGAAUAUUGGACAAUGGGCGGAAGCCUGAUCCAGCCAUGCCGCGUGAGUGAUGAAGGCCUUCGGUUGUUAAAGGCUCUUUCGUCACGCGACGAUGAUGACGGUAGCGUGAGAAGAAGCCCCGGCUAACUUCGUGCCAGCAGCCGCGGUAAU
rnacentral:rRNA from 1 species